ensembl:lncRNA
CAUUAUGCAUGACAGUAUUUCCCAGAUGGGCCCCUCGUGGUGUAAUGACGUCACUAUUUAGCGCAGGUUGACGGGCGUCACAGAUGACGCGUCCAAGAUGGCCGACUGUUUGUGUAGCUGCUCCAUAAAAACGUUGGAUGGCUAAAAACGAGACUGGCUGACCUUGGGAUCUCAAACCGUUUCUAACACCUGCAGCUUGAAUCCUUCUGAGAGAGCGGCGCUGAACCGUGGACCUUCCACCCUUCAGCCCUCCUGCCGUCGCUCUGCACUAUUCCACCUCACACCCGUUGACGCUUUGGACCUCCUGGACCUCGGAGGUUGUGCGACGCGUCGAUCUGUACCGACUUUUGAGAAGCGUUGUGUGGAUGAACUCGUCCCUCUGGACUAACCGGGGCCGACAGAGAGGCAGCUGCUUGUGUUUGUGUGUAGUACGAGUGUUUGUUUGUGUGAGCUCCAGUGUUUAUCCAUCAACUUUGUUGUGUGUGUGUGUGUGUGUGUGUGUGUCAGUUGUCAUGGUCCAGUCAGGUCGGAGUAUCCUGAAGACACUGUCAGGCAGCAUUGGUUUCCUCUCUCGGGAUCCUGUAACACAGCCGACCCCCCGAGUUGCGUUACCUUGUCAUUUUGCGACACGCAUCAGAGUGAAGACGAGCUGGAAAUAGCCGCCGCUCGGCGACCUUGAACUCUGACAGGAGAUGACGGGAGCGCUCAAACACACACACACACACACACACACUGUGCACAGGUCCGUGCACGGACAGAAGGUUAUUUUUGUGGAACUAAUGUUAGAGAUUUAAAGAGGUAGAAUUUUUAUUUAGUUUUGCUUUCUACAACUCAAAAAACACACACUGAAAGAAGAAACCUGAAAAGAUUGAAAACCUUUAAGUAAGAAAUUAGACUUUUAAGACAAACAUGCAAGAAGCAAUAAAAGUAAAUCAAAAGAGCUGAAAGAGCAGAAACAUUUCUUGUUUCACUGAUUAGUAUUUCCUGCAGUCACUUCCUCUCGGGGGCCACUAGAGGGCAGAAGAGCACUAGGAAACGCAUGAAUCCACCGCAAUCCUAAACCGCAAGCACGCACAUGACCUUUGACCCCGACCGGGUGGACUUCAAACUUUUGCAUAUUUAACGGACUCGGCGAUAAGAAUAAUUUGAACCGGAAUUUAAAAAAACAGGAAGCAAAGACAAAUAAUGUCGGCCUCCAAUAGUGUAUUAUUGUUGUAAUGUGGAAUGUGACGAGUUCACAUCCUGAAGUUUUAGAACAAAAAGCUCACUUAUCGCUAAAAGCAGAAGAUGAGACGCAUUCACAUGGAGUCGCUUCCUUCAAUAAAUCUCAGUUAUUCUACUCAAACUAUGUGAAGGAAUUGAAGAGAUUAUUCAAGUCAUGUAAAUGGGAAAAAGAAAACAAAAGACCGUCGUCUAAAUAAACGAAUAAAAGACACAUACAUGGGAAAUACUCGGCUGCUGUCCAGGCCUUUUAUUGUGAAAAGACAUGAAUUUAAGUUGGUAUACGCUGACUUCGUCAAGGUUAAAAAGAGUAAUAAACUUUACAAUUUUGCAUCAGUGUUUUUGGAAUAAUAACAAUAAUAAAUGAAUAAUCUCCUGCACUGGGCGUUCUGGUCGAUGACUUUAUUCACGCUGUAAACGCUAAAAGAAACGUCCCCUAAAAAGGGGAAUAAUACAAAAUAUGAUUCCACCAAGGAGAAUUAUUUUAUUGUUUUUAAGUCUUGGUACCAGUUCUGUUUGUUAUUUGCAGAAAAUUCAUUUUCUUUGCUGCCUGUUUUUUGUGCAGAAAAAAAGAUCUAUUUGACAGCCGGACACAGCUGGGAGGAACCGGAGCACCGUCCAACAUCUGGAGGAGAGCCUGAAACCAGGAGAGAGGAGGUUGUCAGAGCAGCACACUAACAUCAGGAGUGACACGCACAAAGACACACACACACGAGCAGAGAGAGAGAGUGCAGAGGGCGAGUUGGGCGAGCUAGCGCUCCUCUCUCUCUCAAAGCUGCGUGGUCAGUUACGGAUUCCUGAGGGACGCCAUCGACACACGCGUGUGUGUGUGUGUGUGAGAAAUUAAUCAUUUUGCAAUUUUAACAUGAAAAAGAAGUGACAAAAAAUGUCAUGUUGCCCCGAACAACAUGAAAUCUCUGCUUCAAAAAAACCAACUGUUUCCUUCCAUAGAAUUAGAUGAUGAAUAAACAGGUUUACUGUCCUUUCUAUGUGUUGUACACUUUUUCUGUAUAGAUUUUUAAGUAUUAUGUAUUUUCUACUACGUAUCCUCAGCUUUUUCUUUCUUUUAAUCCAACGCAAUGUGACACUUUAUAAAAAACAUGAAAUGAUUAAUUGAUAAAAUAAGAAAAAAAAAAGAAAGAUAUUUUGACUUGUUGAUGGAGCUGGAACCUGACUCAUAAUGUGAUAUAUAUAUAUAUAUAUAUAUAUAUAUUAUAUGUACACGUGCGUUUUUAUAUAUAUAUACCCUCUUUUACACCGUUAUUUGGUACAUUUGGGACUUUUCAAAUACAUUUAAAGAUUAUUCAUCAAAUCAAUUAUACAAAUUCUGAAUAGAUUUAUUUAAUAAUAUUUAUUGCUUUCCUUGCCUGGUGCAAAACUUUCUUUAUUUUCUUAAAUAAUUAAAACCUCAUAUCAGCUUUUUAACAUAAAAUAAUUAACAAUUACAUUUUACUAUUUGAACUAAAAUCCAUCUUUAGCUCUAGUCUUUGCUCUUCUAUCCGCCCAUCAUUCGGUAUUGAUUACUGAUUGCUGCUGAUCCACUUGAAGCUAAACGGACCGUAUUCAGUAACUGGAGCACGUGACUGAAGGCGGAGAUCCUCUCCCUUUGUGAUCGGCUCUGUAGGUUUGAGCUUGGAUUCAUUUACAGUCACUCUCUCACGCUGUUGUUCGCCCACGUUUUAAUUGUGUGUCGCAGCUGCAGCUUGUGCGUUUUGCAUUUGUAAUAAAACUACUUUUCCUUCCUCUGAGCUCUUAGUUUCAGUUUCUGCUUCGCCUUCUUCUGGCUCCAACAACUUUGUUCCAUUUCUCAUUCUCUGGCAUAAUUACGGCUUCAUCGCUGCUCGGCGCGCUGUAGAUAUUUCUCUCGGCUUCCUUUUUUUGUCUUUUUUGGUUUGGCUCUCAUUAAUAAUUCACACGGAGAGAGAAAGGGGAAAUUUUAGCGCAAUUUGCAGCAGCUGAAUCCCUGUUAUUGUUUUGCAG